GAAAGUAAAUAAGGGCGCAUGGCGGAUGCCUUGGCUCUCGGAGGCGAUGAAGGACGUGAUAAGCUGCGAUAAGCUUCGGGUAGGUGCAAAUGACCUUUGAUCCGAAGAUUUCCGAAUGGGACAACCCGGCAUUCUGAAGGAAUGUCAUCCAACUUUGUUGGAGGCUAACGCAGGGAACUGAAACAUCUUAGUACCUGCAGGAAAAGAAAAUAAAUAAUGAUUCCCCUAGUAGUGGCGAGCGAACGGGGAUUAGCCCAAACCACCCAUGUUACGGCAUGUGUGGGGUUGUAGGACCACGCUCUCGCAAGACAGUUAUUGAGAAGAAACGACUGGAAAGUCGUGCCAUAGACGGUGAUAGCCCGGUAUUCUAAGGUAACCGAAGCGUAGUGGUAUCCUGAGUAGCGCGGAGCACGAGGAAUUCUGCGUGAAUCAGCCGGGACCAUCCGGUAAGGCUAAAUACUCCCGAGAGACCGAUAGCGAACCAGUACUGUGAAGGAAAGGUGAAAAGCACUUCGAAUAGAAGAGUGAAAUAGUCCCUGAAACCAUGCGCCUACAAGCGGUCGGAGCAGCGUAAGUUGUGACGGCGUGCCUUUUGCAUAAUGAACCUACGAGUUACUUUUUCCGGCAAGGUUAAGCAUCUUGAGAUGUGGAUCCGAAGCGAAAGCGAGUCUGAACAGGGCGGAUAGUCGGAAGGAGUAGACGCGAAACCAAGUGAUCUACCCUUGGGCAGGUUGAAGGUUAGGUAACACUAACUGGAGGACCGAACCGAUAAGCGUUGAAAAGCUUCCGGAUGACCUGAGGGUGGGGGUGAAAGGCUAAUCAAACUUGGAGAUAGCUCGUACUCCCCGAAAUGCAUUUAGGUGCAGCCUUGAGAGUUACUAAUGUGAGGUAGAGCGACUGAUAAGAUGCGAGGGCUUCACCGCCUAUCAAGUCUUGAUAAACUCCGAAUGCGCAUUAGUUCUAUCUCAGGAGUGAGGGCAUGGGUGCUAAGGUCCAUGUCCUAAAGGAGAAGAAUCCAGACCAUCAGCUAAGGUCCCCAAAUAAACACUAAGUUGAACUAACGAAGUCAGAUUGCUAAGACAGCUAGGAUGUUGGCUUGGAAGCAGCCAUUCAUUUAAAGAGUGCGUAACAGCUCACUAGUCGAGGAGUUUGGCGUGGAUAAUAAUCGGGCAUUAAGUGUUUUACCGAAGCUAUGGGAUACGUAAGUAUCGGUAGGGGAGCAUUCCACUCUGCGUUGAAGGCGAAGCGUGAGCUUUACUGGAGCGUGUGGAAAAGCAAAUGUAGGUAUAAGUAACGAUAAAGGGGGUGAGAAACCCCCUCGCCGCAAGACUAAGGUUUCCUGAUCAACGCUAAUCGGAUCAGGGUUAGUCGGGUCCUAAGGCUCAGCCGAACGGUGAGGCCGAUGGCAGAACAGGUUAAUAUUCCUGUACUACCUGUAGGAGUGAUGUGGAGACGGAGGAGUGACAACGCCGCGGACUGACGGAAUAGUCCGUUAAAGGGUGUAGAUGUUGAUUAUCCCAGGCAAAUCCGGGAUAAGAGUCGAACCUGACAGUAUACCAAUUUCCCCGGAAAACGGUAAUAGUGCGUGUAAACAUACUCCCAAGAAAAUCCGCUAAACUUAAUCUUACAGGUACCCGUACCGUAAACGGACACACGUAGUCGGGUUGAAUAUACUCAGGCGCUUGAGUGAAUCACGGUUAAGGAACUAGGCAAAUUGACCCUGUAACUUCGGGAUAAAGGGUCCCUACCCGGUGACGGGAGGGCGCAGAGAAUAGGUCCAGGCAACUGUUUAACAAAAACACAGGGCUGUGCAAAAUUGAAAGAUCACGUAUACAGCCUGACACCUGCCCGGUGCUGGAAGGUUAAGAGGAGAUGUCAUCGCAAGAGAAGCAUUGAAUUGAAGCCCCAGUAAACGGCGGCCGUAACUAUAACGGUCCUAAGGUAGCGAAAUUCCUUGUCGGGUAAGUUCCGACCUGCACGAAUGGUGUAAUGAUCUGGAC
rnacentral:rRNA from 1 species